UACGUAGGGUGCAAGCGUUAAUCGGAAUUACUGGGCGUAAAGCGCGUGUAGGCGGCCCGGUAAGUCCGCUGUGAAAGUCGGGGGCUCAACCCUCGAAUGCCGGUGGAUACUGUCGGGCUAGAGUACGGAAGAGGCGAGUGGAAUUCCUGGUGUAGCGGUGAAAUGCGCAGAUAUCAGGAGGAACACCCAUUGCGAAGGCAGCUCGCUGGGACGUUACUGACGCUGAGACGCGAAAGCGUGGGGAGCAAACAGG
rnacentral:rRNA from 1 species